rnacentral:rRNA from 1 species
UACGAAGGGGGCUAGCGUUGUUCGGAUUUACUGGGCGUAAAGCGCACGUAGGCGGAUCGUUAAGUCAGGGGUGAAAUCCUGGAGCUCAACUCCAGAACUGCCUUUGAUACUGGCGAUCUAGAGUCCGGAAGAGGUGAGUGGAACUCCUAGUGUAGAGGUGGAAUUCGUAGAUAUUAGGAAGAACACCAGUGGCGAAGGCGGCUCACUGGUCCGGUACUGACGCUGAGGUGCGAAAGCGUGGGGAGCAAACAGG